rnacentral:rRNA from 1 species
GUAAUACUGUAUAAUCCCUGAGGGGGAAAGAUUUUAUCGCUAUUAGAUGAGCCUACAUUAGAUUAGCUAGUUGGUAAGGUAAUGGCUUACCAAGGCUAUGAUCUAUAGCUGGUCUGAGAGGACGAUCAGCCACACUGGAACUGAGAUACGGUCCAGACUCCUACGGGAGGCAGCAGUGGGGAAUAUUGGACAAUGGGCGAAAGCCUGAUCCAGCUAUGCCGCGUGAGUGAAGAAGGCCUUCGGGUUGUAAAGCUCUUUCAAUAGGGAAGAUAAUGACGGUAC